GAUGAACGCUGGCGGCGUGCCUAAUACAUGCAAGUCGAGCGAACAGACGAGGAGCUUGCUCCUCUGACGUUAGCGGCGGACGGGUGAGUAACACGUGGAUAACCUACCUAUAAGACUGGGAUAACUUCGGGAAACCGGAGCUAAUACCGGAUAAUAUAUUGAACCGCAUGGUUCAAUAGUGAAAGACGGUUUUGCUGUCACUUAUAGAUGGAUCCGCGCCGCAUUAGCUAGUUGGUAAGGUAACGGCUUACCAAGGCAACGAUGCGUAGCCGACCUGAGAGGGUGAUCGGCCACACUGGAACUGAGACACGGUCCAGACGCCUACGGGAGGCAGCAGUAGGGAAUCUUCCGCAAUGGGCGAAAGCCUGACGGAGCAACGCCGCGUGAGUGAUGAAGGUCUUCGGAUCGUAAAACUCUGUUAUUAGGGAAGAACAAAUGUGUAAGUAACUAUGCACGUCUUGACGGUACCUACUCAGAAAGCCACGGCUAACUACGUG
rnacentral:rRNA from 1 species